CACUUCACACACCCUCAGCGCUGAUUUUUGCUGUCAAAUCGUUCGUUUCGGUGUCAUGUUACAAUUUGGUAUUCUGUUAAACAAUAACCGCGACAAAAGCGCCGCUCAAAUGAGAUUGUUAACAUUUGGAACUAAAAUUUGGCACUGCUACACUUACGCUCCAAAAUUGUUGGUAUUUGGUAUUCUGAUACAUACCAUUUGACAUCUCAUCUCACUUAAAUGUACAUUUUGUACGACAAUUGACAAAUUAAAAGUUGCUCUUCCCUCGCUAAAAUCGUCAUUUACCAGUGAGUUAGCCAUUUUUAGCGAAGUUAAAACUUGUUUUAUGUGAAAAUAUUCUAACAUAGGACAAUCUAUAUGUAUCUUGGGAAGGCCCGUUUCCACUUUUAAAGUUUAAACCUCUAUUUCAAGAAAUAAAUGAUGUAAUCCAUUAAAAAAUACUUAAUAUAAUAUCUAUAGAUGGCGAAGAAAAUGUAGGCACGAAACGACCAAUUGGUUUCUCGGCAUUGGUUAUUAUCGCUUUUUUCCAAUACUCAAGAAAUUAUAUGGUAUUGACGAAACCUAGAACAUAUGCUGCUGAGAUGAACGAAGAGUCUAGUAAAUACUAAAUAGAUGAUCUAAGCACGAAACAAGGGAUACCUAACAUCUGGAUAUAUUGUAAAAAAUUUAAGAAUAUUAUCUUAACAAAAAGAUAAAAGAUGAUGUCACGCUAAAAGUGAUUCUCUCAGCAAAUGGGCUACGGAUUCAAAGUAAACAGGAUGGAUAGGUGUUUUAAAUUUUCAAAAUGUUACUAAAGGUAACCAAGCCAUCAGUGGUAGUUGUCAAGAAUGAGGAA